CCUACGUGGUGCAGCAGUGGGGAAUAUUGGACAAUGGGCGAAAGCCUGAUCCAGCCAUGCCGCGUGUGUGAAGAAGGCCUUCGGGUUGUAAAGCACUUUCAGUGGGGAAGAAAGCCUUGGGGCUAAUACCCUCGAGGAAGGACAUCACCCACAGAAGAAGCACCGGCUAACUCCGUGCCAGCAGCCGCGGUAAUACGGAGGGUGCGAGCGUUAAUCGGAAUUACUGGGCGUAAAGCGCGCGUAGGCGGUCUGAUAAGCCGGUUGUGAAAGCCCCGGGCUCAACCUGGGAACGGCAUCCGGAACUGUCAGGCUAGAGUGCAGGAGAGGAAGGUAGAAUUCCCGGUGUAGCGGUGAAAUGCGUAGAGAUCGGGAGGAAUACCAGUGGCGAAGGCGGCCUUCUGGACUGACACUGACGCUGAGGUGCGAAAGCGUGGGUAGCAAACAGGAUUAGAUACCCUGGUAGUC
rnacentral:rRNA from 1 species